UAUCUGACUCUCUCACUCAUCACUGUGCUCAACCCAAGAACAAGAACAAGAACACAAUACACACAUACCUCUCUCUCUAUCUACAAUGAUCUGGUGUUUCACGAUGGUCGCACCAUCUAGGAUUUCGAUCUGAAUCACUGACCCCUCAUACCGCAUCACCGACCCCAUAUGUUUCAGAUCUGAAUCGCGCCAUGAUACCUUAGGUGUUUUCGCCCAGAUCUGUGGUUUGGUAUAGAUCUGUGGUUUGGUCUGGGUGGCAAGAAAAACAAACCGAAAUCGACAGGGAAGGUGAGAGAUUUGGUGGUGCUUAAGUCGUUUCAGGUGAUGGCGCUCCAGUAUUGACGGCGGGUCAGAUAAUUAGAAGAUGAUGACGGCGGGUUUGCGAGCGUGUGUUUGUUUGGAUUUGGAUUUUUGAGUUUGUUAUAUGGAGACCUAGUUUUGGUGUCAUGAACAGCAAGAUUGAUCUAUCUUUUAUCUUCAAUACCUUGGUCACCAUGACUCAAAGUUGCUGAUGUGGUUUUACUGAAUAAUGAAUAGAUGAGAUUUGUUU
rnacentral:lncRNA from 1 species